UACGAAGGGGGCUAGCGUUGUUCGGAAUUACUGGGCGUAAAGCGCACGUAGGCGGAUAUUUAAGUCAGGGGUGAAAUCCCAGAGCUCAACUCUGGAACUGCCUUUGAUACUGGGUAUCUUGAGUAUGGAAGAGGUAAGUGGAAUUCCGAGUGUAGAGGUGAAAUUCGUAGAUAUCGGGAGGAACACCAGUGGCGAAGGCGGCGACCUGGGCCAAUAUUGACGCUGAGGUGCGAAAGCGUGGGGAGCAAACAGG
rnacentral:rRNA from 1 species